rnacentral:rRNA from 1 species
CACGUAGGGGGCAAGCGUUGUCCGGAUUUAUUGGGCGUAAAGAGCUCGUAGGUGGCUGAGUAAGUCGGGUGUCAAAUCCCCAGGCUCAACCUGGGACCCCACCCGAUACUGCUCUGGCUAGAGUCCGGUAGGGGAGCGUGGAAUUCCUGGUGUAGCGGUGAAAUGCGCAGAUAUCAGGAGGAACACCAGCGGCGAAGGCGGCGCUCUGGGCCGGUACUGACACUGAGGAGCGAAAGCGUGGGUAGCAAACAGG